GCGUCCGAGAGCAGGCCGAAGGGCUCAGCCGGCGGAAGCCGGUGAUCUGCGCGCCGUUCCGUCCUCCCUUGCGCCUCUGGGCCGCGUGCGUCGAGUUGCCAAGGACACCGCGGCGGUCCAGAUGCAGGCCCUUUGUGUGUUUCCCGAGGGGGCGCACCUGUCUGCCACCUUCCCCCCGGGCCUGCUAGCCGGGCGUUUCCACCAGGGUGGCUUUAACGGCUUACGCAGAAAAUAAAGCUAAUUGUCCAAGACUAUUGAAAGCGGCGCCGUGAGGACGACACACGCUGACCGUAAAUCAACCAAAGCAAGCGUAGGCUGCCGCUGAUUCCGAUCAGAAAUGAGGGUCCUGCUCCCGCACAGAGGCUAUAGACUUUUUUUUCACCCUGUCCCUGCGGCUGCUUAUCACCACACAAAGCGAUGCCACUUACCUUGAGCUAAAUCCCGGACCGAAAACAUCGAUCUUCUCAACAAUCAACUUCCUGAGACUGUUACCAUUCGGCGAGUGAGUGAAUCCCAGAUCAUCCAGGUGACACCAGGAUGAAGAAUCAGGACUGAGCUGAACGCAAUGGACACUAGCAGGUGACCCAAAAAAGUAGCUGCAAGUGGGUGACUCAGGAGCAAAGCUCCUUAAGGACAUGAAAUCGCCAACAUUUCUGGAGUCAGAAGAUCAAAAGGACACAUCAUUAUCCUAGAAAGUGAAGAACUGUAAUGGGGCAUUUACUCCUCAGAAAAGGUUUUGAUGCUUUUAGGAUGAUCUCAACUUCCACUUAGGAAAUUAAGCUGUUUUAGGAAGAGAGUAAUUGUUGGGUGAAAAGGAGUCAGGUUUUCUAGUGGCCCAACCAGAAAGGUCAGCUCCUGAGCAAUGGAUACUUUAAAAUCUUCCCAUUGACAAACAGUGCCCAACUUCCAUCUUCUCUAAUCACUGCACAUGACUGCCGAUGCCACAGUCCUUGCAUAAAGGGAGAAUCUCAAAACAAAUCCAAACUUUUGUCAUUGUACCAAUCUUCUCUGAGAAAUUUAGUUUUAUGUUUUAAAAUAAAUAAAUGAUAAU